CGUGGGCUUGACAUGUUAGUCGUAGACUUGUGAAAGCUUGUCGUCACUUCGGGUGGACUAUCACAGGUGCUGCAUGGCUGUCGUCAGUUCGUGUCGUGAGAUGUUGGGUUAAGUCCCGUAACGAGCGCAACCCCUAUGAACUGUUGCCAGCGGGUAAUGCCGGGGACUCUGUUCAGACUGCCCAGAUUAACUGGGAGGAAGGAGGGGAUGACGUCAAGUCAGUAUGGCCCUUACGCCCAGGGCUGCACACGUGCUACAAUGUCCAGUACAAUGUGAACCGAGACCGCGAGGUGGAGGAAAUCUAUAAAACUGGGCUCAGUUCGGAUUGCAGGCUGCAACUCGCCUGCAUGAAGUUGGAAUCGCUAGUAAUGGACAUCAGUACG
rnacentral:rRNA from 1 species